ACAAUGGUGGUUCAGUGGUAGAAUUCUUGCCUUCCAUACAGGACACCUAGGUUUGAUUCCUGGCCAAGGCA
rnacentral:tRNA from 1 species